AUCAGUUGCUCCACUACAACACUUUCAUGUCAGGUAGAAUCCCAAGAAGGACAACACUGAAUAUGUUUAUGGCCAUUGUUUAUGUUGUUUACAUUGAUAAGGGCCACUUGACUUCUGACAUGUGUCUUGCAAAUGAUGUUGAGGAUGAGAGCACAUUUCUGACUUCUGGGAGGUAUGCAAGGGUCCCUAGUUUAGUUUCUGUCCACCAGGGGGAGGAGUUUCCUAACACAACAUCAUUAUCUUUGUAAAUUAUAUGCUUCUCAGAUUCAUUAUUUGAUGUCAUUUCAUCAUUUCUUCAUGUGAAGAGUCAAGAACAUUACUUGGGUGACACUUAAGAUGAACACUUUCUCAGCUUUAGUGACUAUGAUGCUGCUGUUCUUGCUUGGGAGGACCUGUGGAGACUCAGUAACCCAGAAACAAGGUCAAGUGACUCUCUCAGAAGAUGACUUCCUAUUUAUAAACUGCACUUAUUCAACCACAUCUUACCCAACUCUUUUCUGGUAUGUCCAAUACCCUGGAGAAGGUCCAGAGCUGCUUUUGAAAGUCGAAGCAGCCAACAACAAGGGAAGCAGCAGAGGUUUUGAAGCUACACACGAUAAAGGAUCCACCUCCUUCCACUUGCAGAAAGCCUCGGUCCAAGAGUCAGACUCGGCUGUGUACUACUGUGCUCUGAGUGACACAGUGUCACAAACUGCAGGGGGAGCUGAGCACAAACUCUGAGAAGCAAAAG